GUGAGGAAUAUUGGUCAAUGGGCGAGAGCCUGAACCAGCCAAGUCGCGUGAAGGAUGAAGGUUUUAUGAAUUGUAAACUUCUUUUGCAGGGGAAUAAAGUACGGUACGUGUACCGUUUUGUAUGUACUCUGCGAAUAAGGAUCGGCUAACUCCGUGCCAGCAGCCGCGGUAAUACGGAGGAUCCAAGCGUUAUCCGGAUUUAUUGGGUUUAAAGGGUGCGCAGGCGGGUUGAUAAGUCAGCGGUGAAAGUUUGCAGCUUAACUGUAAAAUUGCCGUUUAAACUGUCGAUCUUGAGUGCAAAUGAGGUAAGCGGAAUGUGUUGUGUAGCGGUGAAAUGCUUAGAUAUAACACAGAACACCGAUUGCGAAGGCAGCUUACUGGGAUGCAACUGACGCUCAUGCACGAAAGCGUGGGGAUCAAACAGGAUUAGAAACCCUGGUAGUCC
rnacentral:rRNA from 1 species